rnacentral:rRNA from 1 species
GUCCUGGCUCAGGAUGAACGCUGACAGAAUGCUUAACACAUGCAAGUCUACUUGAACUUCGGUUUGGGUGGCGGACGGGUGAGUAACGCGUAAAGAACUUGCCUCACAGUUAGGGACAACAUUUGGAAACGAAUGCUAAUACCUGAUAUUAUGAUUUUAGGGCAUCCUAAAAUUAUGAAAGCUAUAUGCGCUGUGAGAGAGCUUUGCGUCCCAUUAGUUAGUUGGAGAGGUAACGGCUC